rnacentral:tRNA from 1 species
AGUCUAGUGGCCCAGGACGGGUGGUUUUCAUCCACCAAACCACGGGUUCGAAUCCCAU